rnacentral:tRNA from 1 species
GGGGAUAUAGCUCAGUGGUAGAGCGUCUGCUUGGCAUGCAUGAGGUUCUGGGUUCAAUCCCCAGUGCCUCCA